GAAAUCUUAUUUUGUCAUCAAUGACCAUGAAAAUGUUUAAGAAUCGUUGGAUGCAUUCAAAACUUGACAAGAAAAGCAUUCAAGACGGCAAAAUACGGCUGAAAACGUGUUUUGCGUGGAAGAAACGAGGAAAGUAGGGAAGUCUCAAAUUACAGAUCGUCGUCCCGGAUUGAGGAUUUGGCACAUAUGCCAUGUUGAUCGUCAGGUUAUUGUACCGAAAAGCAGAUGAUAUUGCUACCGGUAAACGAGUUGCAUACAAAUUCUCGUAAAGAAACCAGCCGUCGUACGUUGAGCCACAUUGUGUGUUAAAUCCAUGGAGGUUAGUUGCAAUCCAAGAAUAAUCUGCACCCAUAAAGUUAACAGUAUACAUUUAAGACUCGCAAGGAAGUACAUUCAUUGUCAGGACACAUCUCAUUCAUAACAGGACAUUCGGCGUUUUUAUUUCUGAGGAAAUACUAUC